ensembl:lncRNA
GGAAAUAUCUGGGGUCUCUGGAGUGGUGCAAGGAGAACCAAAAGCCCAACUCUCUGACUCUCUAGUGUUUCUCUUUGGCUUUCCAACAGGUGACUUCUUGUUUCUAAUAAACUAGUAGUACUCAUUUUUAAGACUUUGUUCAGUGACAGUUUAUGGAGGCUGAAUAUAUGACCAGCAGAAAUCACAAACAUAUCCAAGUUAUGGGUUUGAGUGCCGCGGACAGUAAGAAGCACAUCAGUGGAAAGCACUAUAAAUAUUUCUACUCAAUUUCCUGCACUGUUGGGUUGUAUAACACUCCCUAGCUCUUUGUGAACAGUUUACUAACUCUUUAUAGACUAGCCACGACUGAACUCCUGGAUUUAUGUGGGACCAACAAGUUGCUGCAGGCCUGGAGCAUCGCCCAGGCUGAGGUUUUGCUGUUUUGAUUCUACGAAAUUAUCUGUCUUCUGCUCAAACAUAAAGCUCCCUGAGGCUCGGGAACACAGCCACGAAGAAGCAGGAGCACAUUUGAUAAAGACUCAGCAAUGCCUUUGCUGGCAGAGCUCGACGCAAGACGCGUAUUUAUUUUUUUAUUUAUUUAUCUUGGAUUACUCCAACAAGGCCGGUGUCCAAUCUAGGACCUUUGGGCACCCUCACACAUCGUUAACAACAUGCUGGUGCCCCAGCAGUGAUAAAGUCAUCGUUUGGCACGGGCUCAGUGGUCAGAAACUGUCCUCAGCUUUACCGCAACCAGCCUUUGGGACUCUCCAAGCACCUUAACAAAGCAGAAGGGGAUUUUUGGUGUCUGUUCCACCAUCAUCCACCAGUUUCAGAAACGUCAAGCGCUUGCAAGGCCUUUCCUUCAGCUCUCUGAAAUCACUUUUUUGGGAAUAAGCUCUAAGAAAUGGGAACGUUCCUGCUGGGAAUGGAAGCACACAAGGGAUCUUUUUUCGGCUGGGAGUGGCUCGCAGUGCUGCUUGCAGUUGCACAAGGGGUAGUUCUUCUGCAGGGGGACUGUUUAAAGGGAAAGAUUUGAUAAAGCCACGAUUCCUACAGCUCCGCUGUUUUUUUCUUCAUCAGGAUAGUGAUUGAAAACACCAGUUGGCUGCGUGGACUCCCAGUUUUGGGAGAAGUUCAUCUGACAGAUUUUCUGCCGGGAAAGAAACUGCCCAGCAUGUCAGAGAGUCCUGGCAAGCACCAUGAGACGCAGGAAAUAAGAGCAGGGAGAGAUCACAAAGCUCUGGAGAAGCUGCUCUUCUGCCAAGCACUCUGAAGAAAGCCAAACAUGGUUGAACACUGUGGAAAAAGAGUUGCCUCCACUUUUUGGAGCAGGACGGCAAGAAAAAAGGUCAUCUGUCCACCGAAGGCUCCCCCAGGUUCUACAGCACAAGCUGACAUCCCCAGUGGGAGGUGCUUACUCAUAGAAUCACUGAAGUUGAAAAAGAUCUCCAAGAUCAAACUCAACCCCAACCCAUCCCACCAUGCCCACUGACCAUGUCCCCAAGUGCCACAUCUCCAUGGUUCUUAAACACCUCGAGGUGUCCUCUUUCUUUAUGCAGCACCACAAGUUCUCACUAAUCCAGAUGCUAGUUAUGCAGUUCACCAACUCAAACAAUUACAAUAGCAUGAAGACAAGAAUAUGCCCAUGUUGGCUUCUUGUGCUGGAUCUUAAGCCUUCUCAUGUGUGAAAUCUGUUCUUCAGUUCAGUUCAAAAUUGCUGCUUAAUGCUUCUUUUUUUCUGUUUUGACAAGGUUUGCUUAAACCUGGGAAGAUCAUGUGUCAAACAGAUAUCGCAUCCUCAGGACAACCAUCAGAUUAAGUAUCCAGUGGCAAAUUCCACACCAAGCAGAUUUUGAGAAGGAGUUUGACAGACUUCCUUAUGAUUCAUUUUGGGACACACUGAAGUAUUGGGGUAUUCCAAGAAAAACAUUCGACAUCAGUACAUCUUGACCCAGCCUCUGUGGGUCAAGAAAAGCAGUCCCACUCCUUUUCUGUGGGUUGAAACAGAUACUAAUGUUAGAUAAGGAUGAAUUCCAUCACCCAUCCGAUGUGGCACCAAAUCCUCUAAGGGAAAGCAGAGACAGCUCUGGAGCAGAUCAUCAAAAUAAGUCAUCUUUGCUGAUGACAGCGCUCUUGAGCAACAGUUCAACUGCUCAGCAGGAAGAAACCAAUCCAUUGUCCACAUCACAAAAUCCGAUGUGAGGUUAAUAGCUUGCGAUGAAAAUAAGACAAUGAGAUUCCCAGAAGCUUCCAGUUCAAGGCAUGCCUUUUUGAGGGCAGAAGGUUAUAAAAGGUGAACUUAUUUAUAUGCCUUGGCAGAAUCAUGAUCAGUGUGGAAAUUCAGCAGGAAAUAAUGUCACCCAUUGGCACAGUAGCUGCUGAUAUUCAGGAGCUUGGAUCGCUGAAAACCUACAAUUGACAGAUCAAACCCUGGCCCUUCAGCUCAGACAUCCUUUCCACACAGAUGUGAGUGCUGGAAAUCCACCAAAGGUAUAAAGAAGAUACCUCAGUGCUGUGGAAAGCAAAGGCCCAAGGAAAACAAAGCAAAACCCUGAGGAUUAAAUGGAAUGAGUUUGUAAGAAAUACUGGGAUUCCUCAAACUUCUGACAACCCCUUAUCUCCAUUGGGAUAUAUGCAAGCUAUGCAGAAAACGCAAAGCCAGAGUGUCUGCCACAGCAGGUGGGACACUAAGCAGCAGGAGAAGCAUAGGAAAGAAGACGUUGAAAGAAAAAGAAACAUCACAACCCACUCAAAGGGUGAAAAAUAGGGGAGUAAGUGCCAAGGAAACAUGCAAAGUACGGUAGAAGGCAGAGAAGAACACAGAAGCUGUUUUGUACUCAAAAGCUUCAUCUGCAUUACCAGAAGUUGAUGAGCAGGAGCAAGACUUGAGCAACGGUUUGGUGACUUGUCAAUAUGGCUAUAGAGUAAUGUAUGCUGGAGAGAACCUCUGAAGGUCUCUUAUCCAAAAUUGCUCAAAUCAGGGCCAAGCCUGGCUUGGAUGCAGGGGUUUCAGAAAUUCACUGGAGCUCUGUCCAGGGUUUUGUGAUUCUUACGGUGAAAAUACAGUUGUUUCCUUAACACGCAGUCAGAGAUUCCCUUAUAGCACCCUGCACCUUUGCUGCUUGCCCUUUUGUAUUUUAAAGAUGAGCGUGGCUCCACCUACACCCUAUCUUCCCCUCAGGUAGGGGAAGACAACAAUAACAUCCCUGGAGGCAUUCAAGGCCAGGCUGGAUGUGGCUCUGGGCAGCCUGGUCUGGUGGAUGGUGACCCUGCACACAGCAGGAGGAUUGAAACCAGAUGAUCUUUGAGGUCCUUUUCAACUCAGGCCAUCCUAUGAACAUUUCCCUUUAAAUUUCCCUUCCUUUCCCUUGCAUGAGUUUAGCCACUUUCAAGUAACAGCCUCCCAAGAAGUGCCCAUUAUCAGAGGAUGACUUCACUCAAGGAUAUUUUGUAGCUGGGAAGAUGGGUAAAACCACUGAGAUUAUGGAUGCCUCCUCCCUGGAAGGGGUCAAGGCCAGGCUGGAUGGGGCUGUGAGCAGCCUGGUCUAGCAGGAGGUGUCCCUGCCUACAGCAGGGGUAUUGGAACUAGAUGAUCUUAAAUGCCCUUUCCAACCCAAACCAUUCUCUGAUAACAUAGGUACUGAGUUGUGAGGCUUCCCUUUUAUUCAUCGCCAUAUAGAACCCACUUAACUUCUGAUAACGUGGUCAUGGGUUUGAAGUCACGGUGAACAAAAUUAGCACAUCCAUCACAGGGAAUGCUGGAUGGCUACAGCCCUGAGAACAGAAUGAUCUCAGGUAAGCCACCUAUAUACAAAGACUUCAUGAAGCAGCACCAGGAAACAAUCCAAGAGCUGCCCAGGGCCCCAUCCAGCCUGGCCUUGAGCACCCCCAGGGAUGGGGCACCCAUAGCUCCUCUGGGCAGCAGAGCCAGGGCCUCACCACCCUCUGAUUAAAAAACACCUUCCUUAUACCUAACCUAAGCAUUCCCCGUUGCAGUUUACUGUACACGAGGUGUGCACACAGCUCACCACCAAAAACCCCAGCUCAGUCAGGCUUACAGGGCCUCUUGCUUCAGCUUUAAACAUGGAAGAGAGAAACACAGCUUACCGUUAACUUUUCUUCCUCCAUGGUGAGCUGAUAAAUUUUGAGAACUUGGAGAGAUGUUUACAGGUAACUCCUUCUGGAGUACCUAAAAGCACAUUUAAAACAGAGGUAAUAUCAU